CAGGAGUUACGCAGGAGUAACAUAUUACAAAUAAAGAACAAUGGGAGGGGUGGAAGAGCCCAAAAUAUGCUAAUUUAUGUUAAUUAGACAUGAGCAUCAAAGGAACCAGUCAAACAACUGAAAUCUUGUAUCUGUCAUCAAAAAAAGGACUGAAA